rnacentral:rRNA from 1 species
CUUUACUGUAACUUCGCAGUGGCAACACGAUUGGCAUGUGUAGUAUAGGUGGGACCCUUUGAAGUUCUGGCGCCAGCCGGGAUGGAGGGAACAGUGAAAUACCACCCUUGCUUUUUGUGUUGUCUAACCUGCUUCCCUUAUCGGGAAGAGGGACCCUGCGUGGCGGGCAGUUUGACUGGGGCGGUCGCCUCCCAAAUAGUAACGGAGGCGCGCGAUGGUUAGCUCAUGACGGUCGGAAAUCGUCAUUUGAGUGCAAUGGCAUAAGCUAGCCUGACUGUGACGCUGACAAGCGGAGCAGAGACGAAAGUCGGUCAUAGUGAUCCGGUGGUUCCGUAUGGAAGGGCCAUCGCUCAACGGAUAAAAGGUA